AGCGAACGCUGGCGGUAGGCCUAACACAUGCAAGUCGAACGGCAGCACAGUAAGAGCUUGCGCUUACGGGUGGCGAGUGGCGGAAGGGUGAGGAAUACAUCGGAAUCUACUUUUUCGUGGGGGAUAACGUAGGGAAACUUACGCUAAUACCGCAUACGACCUACGGGUGAAAGCAGGGGAUCGUCGGACCUUGCGCGAGUGAAUGAGCCGAUGUCGGAUUAGCUUGUUGGCGGGGUAAAGGCCCACCAUGGCGACGAUCCGUAGCGGGUCUGAGAGGAUGGUCCCCCACACUGGAUCUGAGACACGGUCCAGACUCCUGCGGGAGGCAGCAGUGGGGAAUAUUGGACAAUGGGCGCGAGCCUGAUCCAGCCAUACCGCGUGGGUGAAGAAGGCCUUCGGGUUGUAAAGCCCUUUUGUUGGGAGAGAAAAGCAGCAGGUUAAUACCCCGCUGUUCUGACGGUACCCAAAGAAUAAGCACCGGCUAACUUCGUG
rnacentral:rRNA from 1 species